AUUGAUCGCUGGCGGCAGGCCUAACACAUGCAAGUCGAGCGGAUGAAGGGAGCUUGCUCCUGGAUUCAGCGGCGGACGGGUGAGUAAUGCCUAGGAAUCUGCCUGGUAGUGGGGGAUAACGUCCGGAAACGGGCGCUAAUACCGCAUACGUCCUGAGGGAGAAAGUGGGGGAUCUUCGGACCUCACGCUAUCAGAUGAGCCUAGGUCGGAUUAUCUAGUUGGUGGGGUAAAGGCCUACCAAGGCGACGAUCCGUAACUGGUCUGAGAGGAUGAUCAGUCACACUGGAACUGAGACACGGUCCAGACUCCUACGGGAGGCAGCAGUGGGGAAUAUUGGACAAUGGGCGAAAGCCUGAUCCAGCCAUGCCGCGUGUGUGAAGAAGGUCUUCGGAUUGUAAAGCACUUUAAGUUGGGAGGAAGGGCAGUAAGUUAAUACCUUGCUGUUUUGACGUUACCAACAGAAUAAGCACCGGCUAACUUCGUG
rnacentral:rRNA from 1 species